GACGAAGGGGGCUAGCGUUGUUCGGAAUCACUGGGCGUAAAGGGCGCGUAGGCGGCCGAUCAAGUCGGGGGUGAAAGCCUGUGGCUUAACCACAGAAUGGCCUUCGAUACUGUUUGGCUUGAGACCGGAAGAGGUUAGUGGAACUGCGAGUGUAGAGGUGAAAUUCGUAGAUAUUCGCAAGAACACCAGUGGCGAAGGCGGCUGACUGGUCCGGUUCUGACGCUGAGGCGCGAAAGCGUGGGAAGCAAACAGG
rnacentral:rRNA from 1 species